UCUCUGUAUUUGUGCACAUCAUCGCAGCAGCAGCAGCAGGUUCACACUCUUCACACGAACGAACGCCAUUUUUGUCUGCCGUUCAAGAUUCGACCGUUCCGUAAGGCAAGCUCGCCAGCAGCAUCGGUAAAAGCAAAAAAGUUUUAAAAAAGCAAGAAGAAAAAAGAGUUAUCCGUGUCCGUAAUUCCGUCGUGUGUCCGCGACCGAUUCUACCCCCUUUCCCAAGAGUGACUUUUCUGUUCUUCUGUAAUAAUCCAGCUAGAGAAGGAGAGAGUGAGUGUGUGCGCGCGACCUAGAAUCGCAAAAGAGUUCCAUUUUGUAGAGCAGCCAGCAGCAGCAAAAAGAGUCGCGGUUGCCCAUUGUCCGCGCGAGGAGGCCGCGACGACGAAAAAUCCGCAAACGUCAUCUUCGCUGCUCCAACACACACCCCAAUCCGACAUCGUCGUCGUCGUCGUCGUGCUCCACGUACACGGCGAGAACGUGAGCGGAGGAGGAGGAGGCGCCACCCCACCGUGUUAAGUGGAAGUGGCCAAAUCAGCACAAAGCAAAAAGAGAGGUUCCCCGGAAGUGGCGGAAAGUGAACGUCGAAGCGCAUUGUGAAGAAG